GACGGGACUUUGGGAAAUAGCUACACGACAAAACACGUCAACAGCCGAGACAACGGCACGCAACGAGACAGACAGAGAGAUAGAUAAACUGACAGACAGACAGACAGACAGACGGACAGACCGAACACAGCAGGAAUCAUUACAUGGCAAUGACAGGGGCGCUGGACUGCAGGUCUCGGUGUGCCAACCGCCAAACUACCAUCCAACUACUACCAGCUAACACAUCAGCAUCCCAGGGAAGAAGAGCGCUGUAUGACCCACGGGUCCGUCCGUUCCCACGCUGCCGCUUCCCCUGCCCUCUCCCGUCCCCACCUGCUCCGCGGCCGCCUCGCUGGUAGUGGCGGGCGGUGUCUUUAUGUCCGGUUGCGGUGGGCGUUGUGCUGUUCUAUUGGCGACGUGGAGCGAGGCGUUGGUUGAGUUUGUGUGCACCUGGAAGAAAAGGGUUUUGUAAGGAGGUAGCGGUGGUUGGAGAUGGGUGAGAGGGGUGAGGGAUGGUGGGUGCUGCCGGCGGGGUUCAGUCCUUGUGGAGCUAUGUGGCGGGUGGAGAGCAGUUUCCGGGACAUGCCAAGUAUCGAGUGUCACGUGUAGAUGUGUAUGCGGUUUUCUGCAACAACCUCGCAACCACACCCACACACUCUCUGUUGUCACUGUCUGUUGUCGCCUCACCUCCAGCUCACCUUGAGCCAUCCGAUGCCCGACUUCAUCACCUCGGUGAUGCCAUUGCCUGUCAGCUCAUUUUCUUAGCCGCCGCCACGGCCACCGCUGCCCGCUCAUCACCCGCGUGUUCCGCCAUUCCCGUCGUCUCGGAAUCCGUGCGGCCGCAGGCCGUGGUGGCGGUGGCGGCGCCGCCCCCUUCCUUCUCCGGAGAGGCGCCGCGGGCCGUGGUGGUGGUGGCAGCCCCACCGCCACCAUCGGCACCCUUCCAACGUGAUGGACCAUUGCCAGGAUUGCCAGGAUUGUAUAAAGUCGAUGGCGCUAGGCAACAUCCAACACAUUUUUAAUGGAGACCCGAACACAUCACAAAAAUGUACAAUGGAAAGGCUUUAUGUUGAAUCUGUUUAAAUUUUCCUCUGAGCAGCAGCAUUAGUGUUGGAACCCCAAUUCAGGUAGUCCACCUCCCGAUGUGCACCACAAGCGAGGAAGCGUACGACAUGCAUGUUCAAGUACAAUAAUCCAAUGUGAGGACAUAUGCUGUACAUGCAUACAUACAUACAGACAAAUGCACACAGCGGUGACCCACACAGCCCUCGCCCACCAUCACCACUGCCACCAAGACCUAUCCCCUUGCUGUCUGCUGCCUGGACUAAUGCGCCUGCAGCACUACAGGAAUAAAGCAGGUUCUCCUUGUCGUGCACAUUGCACUACUACCCCUGAGGUGUGUCUGCUACUACAUGGCUACACCUGCUUCAUACGCCUUUUAAUACUGCUCCCCAGCAUGCAUGAUUACACAAUGACCUGCAGCACCACAGACCCCGUUGCAUCCAUGGGUGCCACUGCUGCUGCCAGGCUGGGUGCCACUGCUGCCCCCAGGCGGGGUGCCACUGCUGCUGCCAGGCGGGGCACCACUGCCAGUGCUGCCCCCAGGCGGGGUGCCACUGCUGUUGCCAGGUGGGGUGCCACUGCUGCCCCCAGGCCGGGUGCCACUGCUGUUGCCAGGCGGGGUGCCACUGCUGCCCCCAGGCCGGGUGCCACUGCUGCCCCCAGGCCGGGUGCCACUGCUGCCCCCAGGCCGGGUGCCACUGCUGCUGCCAGGCGGGGUGCCACUGCUGUUGCCAGGCGGGGUGCCACUGCUGUUGCCAGGCGGGGUGCCACUGCUGCCCCCAGGCCGGGUGCCACUGCUGCCCCCAGGCCGGGUGCCACUGCUGCCCCCAGGCCGGGUGCCACUGCUGCCCCCAGGCCGGGUGCCACUGCUGCCCCCAGGCCGGGUGCCACUGCUGCCCCCAGGCGGGGUACCACUGCUGCUGCCAGGCGGGGCACCACUGCCAGUGCUGCCCCCAGGCGGGGUGCCACUGCUGUUGCCAGGUGGGGUGCCACUGCUGCCCCCAGGCCGGGUGCCACUGCUGUUGCCAGGCGGGGUGCCACUGCUGCCCCCAGGCCGGGUGCCACUGCUGCCCCCAGGCCGGGUGCCACUGCUGCCCCCAGGCCGGGUGCCACUGCUGCUGCCAGGCGGGGUGCCACUGCUGCCACCAGGCCGGGUGCCACUGCUGUUGCCAGGCGGGGUGCCACUGCUGCUGCCAGGCGGGGUGCCACUGCUGCCCCCAGGCCGGGUGCCACUGCUGCUGCCAGGUGGGGUGCCACUGCUGCCCCCAGGCCGGGUGCCACUGCUGUUGCCAGGCUGGGUGCAACUGCUGCCCCCAGGCCGGGUGCCACUGCUGCCCCCAGGCCGGGUGCCACUGCUGCUGCCAGGCGGGGUGCCACUGCUGUUGCCAGGCUGGGUGCCACUGCUGCCACCAGGCCGGGUGCCACUGCUGCCACCAGGCCGGGUGCCACUGCUGAUGCCAGGUGGGGUGCCACUGCUGCUGCCAGGCGGGGUGCCACUGCUGCCCCCAGGCCGGGUGCCACUGCUCCAGGCUGGGUGCCACUGCUGCCCCCAGGCCGGGUGCCACUGCUGUUGCCAGGCUGGGUGCCACUGCUGCCCCCAGGCUGGGUGCCACUGCUGCUGCUAGGCUGGGCACCACUGCUGCUGCUGCCAGUGCUGCCACUCAGGCCGCCACUGCUGCUGCCCUCAUCAUCAGUCAACCCCUCAAUGCUGCCGCCACCACUGCCUGAUAGCUGUGCACGAAACUGUGUGUCCUUUUCCAUGGUGUGGCGUGACAGCACACGCAGCGCCCUGACGAUGUCGUCAUUGAAGCCAAGCAAGGACUGUCCCAGCACCCUGGGCAGCGCCUCAAUUACAUCCACAUUCACCGGGAUGUCGUGCUCCUGAUCCCAAGGCUUCGCAUGGACCAGCACGUUCCGGCUCAGCCUGCACAUGUGGAUACCAGGCAGCAAUUAACGGGUCUGGGUCAGAUGCCCAUAGGUCUCUGGCUCAGCCAGCAAAUGGUAUUCAGCACACUCCAACAAGGCUGCAUGGGUGAGGCAGCAAGUAGCAAGAAGGGAAGCAGGACAGCCAGCCAGCCUACCGCAGGUAGAACACCAGCAUGGCCAGGUGAGUGCACCGUGCCUGCUUGUAGUCAUUUUGUAGUCGGUCAUUCCACUUCGAUGACAGCACCUUCUGGAACCAAGACUGCCGCUCCCACAGUUCCUGAAGGCCCAACACCACGCCACCCUGGUCGCUUGCCAACUUGGUGGCGGUCUUGUCUGCAAUGGCCUGCAUGCAUGAGUGUUUGAUGUUGCAUGUUGAGUGUAUGGAGUACAUGGGGUAUAAGAGUGUGUGUAGGCUUGUAUGUAGGUGUUAGCCACUGGUAACUAUCUGGACAAGUCUGAGAAUCAAUUCACCGAUUGACAGGCAUCCUGCCAGCACACACAUAACCCAUAAAAGCCAUACCAAUAUGUGCAGGAUGCAUACUGCAACAGAGUGGUGACACAAGACUUCCCAGUAGCAUAGAAGGGCGCCAACACCCACACCCCCACAAAGAUAGGAGCUGCAAUGGAGACUCACCAAUGGACAACUACACUGCGGUGCAAGCACAAACUUCUACAUAAGGCCCCAUUCUACACAAACACCAUCUGCAUGUAGUGCUUCUCCCAUCUAAAUCUGACCCCAAGCCCUGCAGCCUAUGGAAUUACCUGCAACUUGGCUGUAAACUCAUCCAUCCCAGCUGGUGGCUUUUCACGCUCCCACCGGAGGCUUGCACGGGGCCCAAGCAGGUAGUCAGCUGCCUCACCGAGGCGGAGUAGGUUCACCAUCGUGUCCAAUUGCAUUAGGGUGGCACUGAACUCCAGGCUGCUCCAGCUCUCCCGCAGUGUGCCAUCCUGGUUGAUCACCAACUGCAGGCAAGCAGGGCAAGGGUGGCAUGGCAUGCACUUAGCACCAACAUGGGAAGGGGGGCCCACAGCAAAACAGGGAAGCAGGAUGAUACACAAGCGCAGUUGAGCUUGCCCCAGAACUGAGCUUUUGCUGUGUUUAAUCAGCUCUAUGGGGCGGGGGAGAAGGGGCUCGGGCACAUGGUGAAAGACCCCCCCUCACCCGCACAAUCUGACGCUGGUGCGGGUCACGGAAGUAGUAGCGCCCAUCCGUCUUCCUCUCCAGGUGCGGCUCCAGGAAUCGCUGUAAGCACUGUAAGCCGGGGUGCAGAUCUGUGUCGAUCCGUGCCCCCACAUCUGGAAACGCCAAGUCCAGCACAGUGAUGCGCUGCAACAAUGACAUGCCCUCCAGGCCCAGCUUCCACUCCUUUCGUGACUGAGGUACAUAGUGAGAUUCAACGGGUGGGCACCGGAUAAAAAGGCAAGAUUUGAGGUGAGCAGUAGUGGGUCCAGCCAUGAAGAAUUGGUGCAGCCAGUUCUAAAAAAUGCCAGCUCUACAGCAACUGGCCCCAGUUGAUUAAGACAACACAGACACUGCUAAGCUGAAGCAUACAGAGGCCCUGAGAUGGGUGUGCUGCAGGUUACCUCGUCAAUGAGCUUCAUCCUCAUGAAUCCACGGAUGAAGGCAGUCACAUCCAGGCCUAGGGGGGGUAGAGCAUCAAUCCAGUCCUCCACCAGGACUGUCAGGAGUGCUAUGGAUGGAGGGCAGAGCUCCAGCAGCUUGGGGUCCAGCUGCACUCCGGCCUUGGAGCUCUUCAGCAGCUCCCAUGCCAAGCUCAUGUGCUCGGGCCUGUAGGUUGCCGGUAGGUUCACGGCACUGGCACCAGUGAUGACUGUGUAGCCAUUGGGCGGCAUGUCGGCCAGGCUAAUCCAGGUCUGCACCAUGGAGCUGCCGGUUAUGCACCACAGCAUGGUGUGGGAGCCAUACACCAGCAGCAGCUUCAUGAAUGAGUUCCGGAUAUAUGCAGCCCCGCUUGCAUCCAGCUUGCCGUCAAUGGUCGGCAGGAACAGGCUCUGCAUUUCGUCUGAAUGGCAGGGAUAAGGAGGCAGGCAGCGACACAGCAAGGGGGGAUGAAGAGUAUAUUGUUCGAGAUUGGAAACACCAGGACAGGGGACCAAACAAGUACUGCGAGGCUCAGCCCAGGUGCAGGUGUGUUGUAUUCCACUUCUUAAAUCUGGUCCCAAACUGAUACAUUUUUCUGUCUUAUUUUUCCUUUCUCGCUUGGUGUGGUUGCUGGACAAGUUCGCUGGAACUAACUGAAUUCCAACUGCCUAUUUUGCCGCUUUUUCUGUCAGAUCUUUAUGGCUCCGACCUCUGGGUCAGACAGCGAGCAGGAUGCUGUCAUGGAUGCCUACAAGUAAACACCACCUCAGGUGGAAGUCCAUACUUGCAGAAGUAUGGGCGGGGGUCGUAGCACAGGCUACGACUGGGACGCUGGUCCCUGGCUUGCAGAGCCCCCUCAUCAAUCGGAAGCAUGGAUCAACGGUACACCAUUCCGGGACUGGACCGCGCCUUUUUGGAAUUGGCUGUACGAUUCAUUUUGGAUGGCCACAUCCUCAGCUAUUUAAGCGGGUGAAACUCUUCCAAAUCGGUGUCUUCCGACGCCACCAUCCAGUUGUGGUUGAGUAAGAUGCAGCCGGUCUAGUAAAAGCUCCAGAAGCACAUUGAAGCAGGAUGAGGGGGGCGAAGUGUCGGAUGCACAAGUUGUUGGUAUACCCAUAGGGGUGUAGUGAAAGGAGCAAGCAGAAUUGGCUCGUGUCCCCCUUCACCCAGAUGUUUGUGCAGUCAAACAUGCAGCAUGCACUUCUUAAAAUCAAAAAUGGUAAUGGGGCUUGCGACUUGCACCUGCACAUCUGCAUGCCCAUGGUUGUGUAAAGCAAGCAAGUUGCUGCCAUGAGAAUGGCAUAGUUUGCCAUGCAAAAUGAUACAGCAAGCAACCAAGAAAGCCAUUCAGACCCAGCAAUUCAACAGAAAGAAACCAGGCGAAGAAUCCAGGAGCCUGUGAUAAAGCCUCCAUCAGCAUGACCCCAUACCGCAUAACACGAGCACCGGCACCUCCACCGCCUUGAGGAACUCCCGGAUGGUGUGGCCCAGCAAGCCACGGUCGGUGCUGAAGAAGCGCCGCCCCAGCACAUCCUCUGCAGCCUCCAAAGCACCCUCCUGCAUGGGCACAUGCUCCUUGCGUGCCCAACUCAGCAGCAUACCCAGCAGGUCCCGCAACAUGGCCGUAGCACCUUCCUGCAUGCAGGGUGUUGACAGAGCACACCAUUUGAGCCACCACCCUCACAGCCAGCUCCCAUUACCAUGCACAAAUCAAUCCUUCUGCAACCAAUGCCUCUGCAGCACAGUCAUGGCAUGCUCACAGAAGCAGCAUAAUGGAAUGGAAGUGCUUCAGCAGCCUUGAGAGUGUGUUCCAAUAUUUAACACCCACUUGCCUGCCGUUGCAGCAGACCACAGUUCAGGCGCAGGGCCACCAUGCCUGCCAGGGGGCCCUCCCCUCCCUGCUGGCGCAGCACCUCCGCCACCACCGCAGGAACCACGUGCUCCAGGGUGAACGACUUGCCCGUCUGCAACAUGCAUGUGCAUUGAUAAGAGGUCAUAGGGCUACUCAAGUGUUGCGUGGUCCUGUGCUGUGGCAAUGACAUGGAGUCACACUGUGGCUAAAGAUACCUAGGAUGGGAGGUACAACACAACAGCAUACCUUGACAAGCCCUGAGACCAGCAAGGGUGAGGGGGCUUUAGCCCGGUCUUUGUCCACCGCGUCACUCAUGGCCAUUUUAGCCCAUAAGCGGAUACGAUCCACCACCCUCACUUUGUCCAUCCUCGCAGUGUCCACCCUCGCCACAUCUAUGUAUGACAGCACUGAGUCGCUGUAAUGCAGCUCCACGAUAUCAUUGUUGUUGACCUUGUAGUGCAGCUUGGCCGCACUAUCCACCAGCCGCCUUGGAGCUGGUGCACCUGCACCAUCACCCAGGGGGCGGGGCACAAGGUCGCUGGCAAGGUAAAAGGGACUUGCAGGACAGUUGGCAGUGGCAACCAUGUUGCACACUUUACCCCUGUGCUAGCUGCAUGCACAUCUUGAAAGUGAGGUCACUGUCGUUGCCAAAUCGAUUCUAUACAUGUGUCUUAAAACCCUGCAAAGUACACUCACCAGCCCCUGCCAGGAUCCCCAGGCCCAGGCCAGCUGCCGCGCCUGCAUGAUGUGGGAGCGGCCAAGGAGCACGUGCAGGUGAAAAGUUGCAUGCCGCUGCACAUGCUUGCUGCAUGUGCUUGAUGCGGUCCGGUGUGCAGGGUGAGAUGGGGGGUUGGGCAUGAAAAUCCUGAUACACAGCAGAGGGGGGGUGCUCGUUUCAAGCACUAGGGCAUGCCAACCCAGGAUGCUUCAGUAUUGCAAACCAAUACAAUGCAUGCUACAACAAUUUCAACAUGAGCUUUGAUGUUGUGCUACUGCUGCAACAGCGGUUGGCAUUCAGCCUACGUCAUGCUGUGUGAGGAAGUCUCCUCAUCCCCAAUCAACCACAUGUCAAUCCAUACCCUACAGCAUCAUGAACAUGCUCACUGGCAGCCAGAGGCAGCAAGUCUACAGGGGGAGGAAAGUAGAACGGAUCCCAGUGAGAUGGCUGGUUUACCCGUGUCGUGGGCAAACAACUAACCCAAGAACUUUGAGUAUUUUCAUUGGUCAGUCAGGCAGUCAGCCACCAUUCAGGCGCGCUCAGCUGUGCCCACAGCGACCGAGGUAGAUUCCCACAGUUGCCAGCCAAUUCUGCUGUGCUCGCUGCAGAACCUCAAUCUCAUACAUACUGUACCAAUGUGGGAUGCCAGGGCUGGUGUUUUGCUCAGGCCAAACCGCCAGUGAGCAAAUCCCUGGAGGAACCCAACACAAACUCACCAGCUCCUGCUGUGCUCCCCACGCCCAGGCCAGAUGCAGAGGCUGCACGACAUGGGCACAGUCGGGGGGCUCUUGGAGAUAAGAGCUGCAUGCUGCUGCACAUUUCAGGUGCACUACCUCUCCCAACUACCCAGUGACGCAUUCCAAGCCUCCCAACAAACCUCCCGCAUACCGCAUACACAAGCGUGCAACAACAGCCCUAAUUCACUUUAAGGUUAUUCAUCAGUUGGUCAGUCACUUGGACACACUCAGCUGUGCCCAUAGCAGCCAAGGUAGAUCCCCCGCCAUGGCCAGCCAUGGCCAGCCUAAUCCGCUACAGUCUUUGCGGUAGCUGAAUCGUGUACAUACUGAACCACCAUUUGAAAUGUUGUUUUUGAUUAGGUCAAGUCGCUGAUAAGGAGAUUUUCACAUAUACCCCGCCGGCGGACGGUCCCCUGUCUGCAAUGCAACACCGUACAUCCUCUGACCAUCCUCUGACCGUUCCAGCGGACGCCUAGCGCAGGGAACGAGCUGAAACGGAAACCUGCGGAAACGGAAACCUGCGUAAAUAGGUUUUGUCACGCUUUCCGCAGCGAAGCCCAGAUUGGCGGAAAUGCGGAAAGAAAAUCCGCAUUUCCGCGUUUGCUGUACGGCGGAAAUUGAAAAACAGGUUCCAGGCAUGCGUUUGCCAUUUAAAGACUGCGUUUUACACUAUAGAGUUAUUUGAUUAAGUCAAAUGUCAACAACCACUGGCCCCAACCUGGGGGCUGCCGAAGUCACAGAGAUUGACUGUGUUUCUGCUCGGAAGAAGGGUUUUUGAUAAUUGAUUCCACAAUGUCCGUAAACGUGGUUGAAGUUGAACAGAGCCACGUCGUUGCAGUUAUCGUUGUGCGGUGCCAUUUUUAGAUACUUUAGCCCUCUCGCCUUUUUUAUUCCUUUUGAUUUUUUUUAUAUUGAAUUCAUAUUGUUUAGACGAUUACUGGAUUAAUGCACAGUCAGCAUAGACUUGUCCGUGAGGCAUGCAGACAUGCCGGACGGGUAUGUGGAGUAGGCAUGCAGACAUGUCACUGCUCCGCAACGGACAGGGAGACGAUUAUUAUUCAGUGUUUCAGGGCUCCCUGGGCCCCUACCCCAUGUAACAUAUGAGUGGCAAUUUCUGAGCAUCCCAGAGCAAUCCGUCAGCCAACAACACUAAUGGGGGUGGUAUACGAUAGGGCUGCUCAGGCCUGGGGUCUCAGGGUUCAAAGAGAGGCGGGCUGCUUGAAGGGGGCAGGGUGAACACCGUCAAGGGUGUGGGCACACAAUAGUUGAUCGCUUGGCCCCCGCCACCCCCAGUAAUACGUUUAGAUGGCUCUACCUUCGAGCACGAUUGGAAUCCACCAGAUUCUAGAUCCCACCGGACAGAACCGCACUGCCAUAAGCUGGUUUCAGACUGUCCAUGUUAUCGCCACACUGAGAAGAGCUAAAAAACAUCGUUACAUAUUCAUUUUAUAGUUUUCGCAGCUUUCCGCAGUUUCCGCAGCCUUUCCGCAAAGGGCCUCCCGAUUACGAAAAGUUUCCGCAGACCUGGUCAAGUUUCGGCUCGUUCCCUGGCCUAGCGGACGGUCAUGGAAACGAUGGUCCAAAGCUCCAAAACAUCUGUAUGUAGAUGAUUUAUGAGACGCUAAUAAUAAAUGCUCCAGCUUGCACUCCUUGGCAAUCAAUUAACGCGCAAAACACUCGCCAGGCGAACCUAACCCCAAAAUCGUAACACACAUAGUAAAAAGGCUUCUAGCAUAAAAGGAGACAGCAAUCGAAAGGCGCCCAGGCGCAAUACUACGACCAUUUGUCUCUAUAUUGUUUAUGUGGACUAUAAUAUAGGUGCUGACGAAGGCUUCAGCCGCACACUCUUCAUGGCUCACUUACAUUGCAUCUUGAGACGCAAGAGUUCCUCAUCGCGAAGUUUGAGCUUCUCCUCGCGGAGUUGGCGCUUCUCCUCGCGGAGUUGGCGCUUCUCCUCGCGGAGUUGGCGCUCCUUCUCGCGCAAGUGGGCCAACUCGUCUUUGUCCUUGCAUAAUUUUAGUGCAUCCUCCGUUGCCUCUAUCUGCGACUCGACCUCCUGUAUUUUCCUAUCGAGGGUCUCCAUGCGCCCAACACCAGCGGAGUUGUUAAACUAGAGCUCAGAAUGUAACGAACAUAAAGCAGAUGCUAUAUCUUCUUCGUAAGGACAAAGUCUCUGCUGGCGGAAAAAUGGAAAAGCGGUUGCCGUACCUACAGGGAUUACAGGGAUUCGUCGUAGGGAGCUGAACACGUACGUGACAAGAACCAUGAGUUAUGCAUUCACUUGUGUAAAGGGAAUUCUUAUUGAGCUGCAGCAUAAGGCUCCAUGGAAAGGACGGCCAAGACCUCGAGGCGAGACGGACGGCCGAGACCCCUCGGGCCGAGACCUCGGGCCGAGACCUCGGGCUGAGACCUCGGGCCGGGCUGAGACCUUGGGCGUCUAUGAAAUAAGUUUGCCCUGGUGACUGAUUACAUAGCUAGACAGGUGCAUCGUUAUGCGAACUUCUCAACUGACGCAUCGCGUGGAGCGCCUUGGCAAGCAAACGCCGGUCACCUAACGUCGACGCUCGCGUAGGACCUGUCGAAAUGUCGUCGUAACCAGGGCACUCCAUGACGACAUGAUACUCAUCUUGAAACCCGAUCCACCCUCACCCUACCAAUGAGACUGUUGACCUCAAUCACCCAACAGCACAAACGAAAAUGAAUUAAGAUCCUAUGAUGCCGGGAAGGGAUGUAAUUUCCAAGGUGGCGUGAGCACCCCAUUCAUUGCACGUAAAGACACAUUUUCAACCCCGGUUGAGGUGUCAGAAAUGAAGUCCCGAGGAUCCUCAAAUUGGACUGACUGGGAAAACAUGUCCCCUUGCUUAACGGAGGUGCUUGAAAAGCAUCCAUAUACGGGGUGACGAGGCUUCCUGGGGAGACCCCCGAAUUAGUUGGGAGAGCGAGAUUAUGGCUAGCUGCUGAGAUGUGGAGUUGAGGUCACAGUUGAUGGACCAGAUUCGCACGCUGGAUUGGUGGCGAUUGCCGAACCCUCCGUCUCUUCGGGUGUUCGGGUGAAUGGAUGAGGAGGGGUCCCUGAAGGCUGGAUCCGCCGCCUUGGACUUACAGUUCGUAUGGCGAAGUACAGUGUGGUAGUGGUGGAUGGUGCUGUAAGGUGAUAAAUGAUCUAGAACUGACAAUGUGAUAAAGCGGCCCAGAAGCCUCCCACUCUGUAACAUUACAUUACAUUACAUAUGCUAGGGCGGCUGAACUAACAGAUGUUUUGAUUUUAUUUUGGUACAUAGCGCCUGGGAGAAAUAUUUCAGCAAGGAUUUUACCCAAAACCAAGGAGGCGUCGCUCCUCAUCCUUCUCUGCAGCCAUCGCCUCCACCACACCUGCCACAUCAUCAUCUGUCUCCUCAGACGGGUACACCUCAUCACUUGCCACACUCUCGACCUCCCCGUUAUCAGAAGGAUAAUAGGCCUCAGCAAUUUCACUGCCCACACUGCCCUCAUCAUCACUCUCAUCAGGCAUCCCACAGUCGCCUACCUUGGCAAUACGGUGCAGGAGCCCAUCCGGGUUCUUUGCAACAUACUCCUCAGCAGCUUGAAUCACAAGGGGUUUGCAUUUCAUAUCCACGGUUGCAUCGAGUAAUCCAACACGCAGAAGGGAAUCAAUGGACGGGACAGACAGCCGGUUACACAGCCUGUUCUUGAUAAUGCGGUGGACACUAAAGCCACGCUCAACACACGCUGUUUGAGUGGGAAAGACACAAGCGACAUACACCAACUGAAUCAAGCGUGGAAAGAAGUGGACCCACUGAUGCAUUCCAGCCCAGGCCCGCUCCCAGGAGGCGCGGCCCAGCUCCAACUGCAAGGCCAUCUUAGACCUCAUAACUGAAAACGCUUUUUGCAAAACGUCAAGUUCGCUGACAUCGAAGGCAAACAGGCGGUUAGAGCUUGCCGAGUGGCAAAAGUGUGCUAGCAACUUCACGAACUCCUUACGGCCAUAGCCACGCCGCUCUUCCUCAAGACAUCCUCACAUAUGUAGCAGGAUCAAAAAUACGAAAGCACUUCAGAAGCUCAGUGUCUCCAAAACGUGCAUCCAAAUGCUUCAAAGUUAAACCCACAAACCGACAAGCAACCGACAGCUGCUGACAAAUGCUACAGCCACCAAUCGCGUGGCCUUGCUUAUUUUUGCCGGUUUGCUGCCACCAGGGAUACUUCGCCGCAAAGGCUGCCUGCCCAAUGUCAGAGACAGACGCCUUCGGUAGCUUGCCUGACAAGUCGACCACCUCAGGUGCAGCCUGAGCAGGCGGGGGUUGAGCCAUCAUUGGCUGCCCAGGUGCUGCUGCAGUGUAUAACAGCGAUUGCUGGUUAGUUUUCUGACUACAUUCAUAAUAACGAUGCAAGACUGUCGGUCGACAAAACGUUUGAAAUUUGCAGCGACCUUAUCGAAACUUACAGUAAAUGUUCACUGAAAAAUGUUCAGCAGCUUUGCCAUUAGCAGCAGGAGUAGAAGUGACUGGGGAUUUCUCUGCAUAGUACGAAAACUGCCCCUAGGUAAGAGGAGUCACACGAGCCGCGGUACCCUCCGUCGCUGUGGGAAUCGAAGCCACAACAGCCACCAGGUGUCGGAUGAAAAUAAGUUCAUCCUAUCCAGGCCCAGCACAUCCUUCACCGCCGCCAACUCCAUGCACAUCACCCCCGCAAUGCCUGUACGUCUGGCGCAACCCCAACCGUGUGUGGGGCCCUUCCUUUGACAGCACCGCCGGGCCCAUGUUGUGUACACAUCCUAAAACGUUUGCAAGCUGUGGCAGAUCUCACCAGUACUGCUCAGCAGUAGCAGUAGCAACAACGCUUGCAACGAAAUACCUACCUUCCGCGACCGGCACCUGCUCUUCGAGGACGACCUGCACAAUGGGGAAGGGAGAGGGGAAAAGCAAAAGCGAGCUCAUGCGCUUGCAACUAAGUGCUCACCAUGGCUGCCACCGCAGCCGUUUCAGGUGUAUGAAUGCGAGAAAGAGGAUCAGCAACAUUCUUGCAGCCCGGCCGGUACUACCACGUGUAGUGGAAGCGGCUCAGGAACUCUUGCCGCCGUGCUUGGCGUGUGACCAUCAUGAAGGUAUCCUGUGCGGUCUCAAGGUACACAGGCGCCACUCCUGUGUAGGGCAUUGAGUACACAGUAGCUCUUGCUCUGUGGUAGUGUAGUUGACUUCGGCAGGUGUGAACUUCUUGCUGGUGUAGGCGACGGGGUGGCCAUCCUGCAGCAUUGCGCCGCCUGUGCCGUAGAUGGCUGGCGUCGGUUACUACUUUGAAAAGGGUUUGGUAAGGUCAGGAAGGCGCAACAAGGGGCGUAUGUGUGUGUAUGUGUGUGUCCACCGCACCCUCCCCCCUAACCACCCCAACCUCUCCCUCACCUUGAGCGCGCUCUUGAAGGGUGGUCCCUUAGGGUGCGGGAACAGUACGGCAGUGUCCAGUAUACGGCCGUGACACGUCCGCAAGGCGGCCAGGUCGUUCUCAAGCGCGUGACCCACCAACAGACAUUCCGAUGACACCAGUGUCAGGAAGUGCUCCUUUGGGGGGGGGAGUUGGUAGGGGUUUUGGGGGGAGCCCAGGUCCCAAAACCGGGGGAGGAGGAUGGGAAGAGGAAUCAUCAUAUACGACAGAAAGAAAAAAGAAAGAGUUAGCAAAGCGGCGAGAGAUGUCGGCACGCCAAGGGGACGUGUGGCAAUGCGGCAGUGCGUCUAGGCUUUCCAGCCGGGCCUCUUCCCGCGUCCCCACUCACCCGCACAUCCUCGAGUCGAUUGGUACAGCCCUGCAUGAUCAUACAGUUGUGGCUCAUUGAGUAUGUCAGCUGGAGAUGAUCAAACUUGAACUUGGAAGGAGAAAGCGGAGGCACAAGAGAAAGCGGAGGGGCAAUCUUGAAACACACACAUACCCAUACACACAUACCAUACAGACACACACGAGCACCUUCGGUCUGCCAGCCCUCCCCCCUGACCUCCAACAUCUUUGACGUGAUUCCGCUGUACCGCGUGUUGUAAUCCAAAAUUGGAUUAUGAGGAAGUACGAGCUCGUCCAUCAGUAUGGCGCCGCUGGGAAAGCCGGUCUUGCCGCCGCCGGUGCUGCUGCUGCUGCCGCCGCCGCCGCCACCCACAGACCUCCGUCCGCUGCGGCUAAAUCCCUCACCUUCCCCUCCUCCUUGGCCGUCAUCAUCGUCAUCAUCAUCACCAUUAUCGUGUUGCUCUAUAUCACCGCUUCUAACGCCGUCAACGCUGCUGCUGCCGCCGUUGGCGGCGUGGCCGUUGCGUCUGGUGGCGGCGACGGCGGCGGCAGCAGCAGCGCCCGCCGCCGUGCCCGGCUCCCAUCCCAGCCCGGCCACCAAAGGAAUCCGCGUGAGUUCAAAUCCCGCUUCCGUGAUGCACAUCUCACAGUCCAACGCAACCAUUCGUUCGCUGGCCGUCGGGUCACCUGUACAACGGAGGAAUGCUUUUAGGGGACUUUCAAAUGUUCAGGGCAUCAGGGCAUCAACUUAUAAGCUAGAUUUUCCAAUUUGUUUUCAAAGACAGCGACAUCCACACAAGCCACGUAAGCAGUUUUGCACCGAACCCGCAUCCUGUUUAGGUCCUUAUUACCCGAAGGUCGCGUCGCCAUAAAGCCCGGAGGACAUACAAGCCGCCUCUGCGGGCCUCUUCGCGCGCCGCCGCCACCUUCUUCCUCCCCUCCUCGUUCCUCUCCCCCCGUCCCCUCUUCACCCUCCUCCUCCUCCUCCUCCUCCUCCUCCAAGUACGGCAACGGGUAGUUAUGUUGCUUAAGCUCGUCCAAUGAUGCCACGUAGUGCGAGGGCGGGAAGGGACCUGGAGGCAACUGCACCGACGACGGCGGCGGCGGCGGCGGCGGCGGAGCCCGACCGCCUUUCUCUCGCCGUUCCGCCGCGGCACCUUUUGGUGGCGCAAGGCUAGCAACCGCCGCCAGCGGCCUCGCGUCUACGUCCUGUUGUUUCUGGUGCUGUUGAAAGCACACGCAUAAGCGGGGGGAAGGGCUUACUCAGGGGGUUACUGACCGUGCUGUUUCAUAAACUUAAUGUUUCAUUAAAACAACUGAAUGUGUUUUUAUGUAUUCGGCACAUGACAUCCCUUUCCCUGCUGGGACGUGUUUUUACCCCCGCACGCGUGUGUGCGUGUGUGCGUGCGUGUAUGUAUUUCCACGGUGUGCCCGAGUCCCUUUGCCCAUCUUCCAAACCACUGCUCGCUGUACUGCACGUUGUUGAAUGGACUUGGAUUUGGGUUUUCAUUUUCCCCACACCUCUCCCCACCACCACCACCACCUCUCCCCUGGCGGCUACCUCGCCCACCCCCGCCCACGCACCCCACCACCAACCCACAGCACCUGCUGCCGUUUCUGUCGAACCUGGGUCGACCGGCUGUCGUACACACCUCGCCGCAAGCUAAACCCGGUAGGGGUGAAAGGGGGGGGGAAGGGUGUGAUUGAGCUUUGGGCUCUGGGAAGGGGCCCCCGGGGGGCGCGGGGGGCGCGGGCAGGAUAAAAAACGGGGGAGUCCCGAUUUCGGAAGAACGAGAAACCGCAUGAUGGCUUGUGGAAUCAUAGUAAGUAAUUCAGUCAUCAAGGGCAACAAUGCAUGGAUCUGAUCAACAAAAAGGCUUUUAUAAAUCCAUUCUCUUCGGAAACAACUAUCUUAGCUAAUGUCGAAUCCGGUUUAGCUUUAAUCCCUUUGAAGGCGAUGUAACUCACAAUACGUGAAUGUUCACUCGUCAAAACCCACAUCAAAAAAGGGGGCCGGGAUAAAGGGGGACUCACAGGGGGUCUACAGGACUCAAAGCCUGUGGUGACGGGUUUCCCUGCGGCUGCUGCGGCGGAAUCGGGGCUCUGUCAUAUCUCCCCUCGCCCCCGGACUUCGCAUGCCUUUCAAUAAGAAGAUAAACCUCUAAAACCCGACAGACCCUCCUGAACUCCGUGAACAGCUCUGUCCCCCCCUUUCCCCCCCUUUCGUGGUCCGUCUCCCCCCUUUUCCCCCCGACCCCGUAUCCCUGCCCUCCCUUCAGCUCACAACACAACGGAGCUCCUAACAACCAAGUUAAGUCAACGUAACGCCAAGCGAAAGAGAUCCGCGCCGUCCGCCGCCGCCGGUGCCGCCGCCGGCGCAGUGGAAGGCACGGAGGACGGGGGAGGGGAGGAGGACAAGGAGGAAGCAACCGCUGGCGGGUCAGUGGCGGCGACCACCGCGGGCCGUGGUGGCGGUGGCGGCGCCGCCCCCUUCCUUCUCCGGAGGCCGCUGCGGCUGCCGGCCUGACGUGGUGUACGGAGGCCGUACUCGGCACCCAUUUCCCCGUGGGGGCCGAUGACGCCUGCGUGUCAGAGAAAGACGUCAAAACACAACAUCGACACGAUAAACACACAUAUCUACAUACACGCACACACUCUCUGUUGUCGUUAAGCAUACACGUGCACAGGCAUAAAGCGGGACAAGCAUAUGCAGGCUGUUAAGGAGGCUGCAUGCACGCGGGGGGUGAUACGCAGCCCAACCUCCCUAGUGGGUGUGCGCGCACGCGCAUGUAGUCUACACUCAAAUCAUCGUGUGGCGAAUUUCCCCCCGGGUACAUAUCACCUGGUUCGCCACCGUAGCGGAUCAUCCCGCCCUUCACCCCACGCCGUAUACCUCGCGACUGUAGCUACCAAGUUUCCGUCAUCUCCCCUUCCACCCCCACCCGCACCAACGCCCGUACCCGCACCCAUACCCACACCCAUACCCACACCCGCAUCCGCACCUCGCCUGCCUCGCCUGCCUCGCUGUCCGCCUUUCCUCUCUCACCUCCCAAUGGGCCCCCGCUAGCUCCGCCCCCCCCCACAUCCGAUAAACUCUCUCUCUCUCUCACCUGCCGCCCCCCCUAGCUCCGGAAUAUCGUCCGCGGGUCCCCCCCGGGUAUUCUCCGUACCGCUGCCCGCCACCUCACGAUCGUGCCGGGCUACCUUUUCAUGCAGCUGCAAACCCUCCCCCAGCUGCUCCUGAUGUACACUGCGGGUACGAGGGAGGUCGCCGACGGCGGGGUGGUGGUGGCGGCCGUCGCUGUCGUCACCGGCAGUGGCAGUAGUGGUGGUGGCCGGCUGCCGCCAGGCCUCGGUCGGGGACAAGCCCAGCGUGGUGGCUGUUGGGCCCGGGCUCGAAUGAGGGGUAGUAGCGCCUGCAGGAGGCGGGAAGGGUGUAUCGGACUCGUAAACAUGCAACAAACACAGCAGCACAUAUACACGCGGAUUACGAGCGGAAACUCUGUGGACAGAUGGAUACGUAGAACCGGGUCUGGAUGUGUGUGUAUUUGUGUGUGCGAGUGUAUGUGGGGGCCGAUCGAAAUACCGACCUAGUGACCCAUGGGUCACUGGUGCCGAUACGGGCGGCAAUUUUCAUCGGGACCACGACCUCUCUCCCCACUUCUCAAUGGUUUACAUUGCAUGGUCAGAGUCAAGCCCCCUGCCAAGUGAGGACUCGUGGCCGUGAGGGCGGACCGAGGGCCAGGGAGCUGCUGCGCAAGGCUUUUGCUGAGGAGCUACGACGGAAAAAGAUUCCUGUUUCGGGAUAUGGACCGCGCACCUACGAAUCACGGGCGCCUGCCGCAGCUUUAAAGGCUUGACCGAGCGCGCGCCUCAUCUUUCCUGAUCGCUCGCUUCCUUAGGCUGUUUCCCGGCAGUAAGAGGCCAAGGGAAAGGACUUUGAAAAGAGAAACUGUGCCCGCGCCUUUCCCGUGCCGCGGUUGUAUGCUGGAGAAAAAGCCUGAGGCGAGCUGGUAUGGACACACCCUUGCUCACUUGCACGGCGCUUACAACAAGUCCAAAGGAAAAAGUCUUCGCUAUUGACAGUUAGACAGAAGUGAUUUGAUACAGGACAGAUGACAAGGUCUAUAGGUCAAAGAUGGGUUGUAAGCCUGUAUGUAUACGAAAUGAGGCACCAUCGCGCCUGUACCCGCGUCGUACAGCAAAUCCGAAAAGGUAGCCUCGCCGCUGCGAGAUAUAGCAGGAAAUCGUGUUCAAUGCUUUCGCUGCAUUUGUUUCGGAAUCCCAGAUUCGCGAAACAAAAAUGCAUAAUCGUAAAUGAAAAUUUUUUGCAGGUCACCCGCAAGAAUCACCGCGCACACCAAACGCAGUGAUAAACGGGGCGACCACCACACGAAAAUAAACAGUCCACAAACAGCAAGACGACACGAAACGACACAUACAACGCCGCCCCUCUCCUGUCCCCCGUGGGCUUGCCACAAUUGGCUUUUAGCUCCAAUUUCCACCGGACAAGUGAAAUAUCUUUGACCGGCACACGCGUCGUCAAAAAGCACUGCACAAAGCAUCAUUGUAAUUCACCAUCGUCACAUAGUCAUAGCAUCCUGCGCUAGAGCCGUGACGAGGAUUUCCCUCCCAUCUGGUAGAAACUGCUCGCUUCUGAAGUAUCUUAUCGUCCAGUCACUGCUACCUUUAACUCCCCCUCCAAAGGCCACCGUAGAAUCCCCCAGUACUCUGCCACGAAAGAAAGAAGAAAACUGAUAGGACACUCGACAUCCAAUUCGCAGCUCGCGCCUUCUCAAUGCACAGCAUUAUGUACAUAACAUUAGUACUUAACUCCCUUACAAACCGUCGCUGCCCCGGUAGCACCUCCCCCUUCUCCAAAAACCCUACCCUAAGCACAACACCGCUUUGCCCCGCGCCCUGAGACCUUGGAGGCGGGAGAGCUGAGGAUGAGCGAGCGCAACGCAUCAUGCGCCACCCGAAUGUUCUGGAAGGAACCUAGGAUAUGAAUUCUCGUGUCCGCCAGCACGAUGCGAGUGCGCGUCGCAUUCUCAAUCGUAAAUUUGGUCUUGCCGUCCUGCGGCUGCGGCGCAUGGGGUUGAAAAAAGUGUAAAAGGGCAGCCAAGCAAUAUGGAGUACGAGAGUCAAAGAAAUGGCGGUAAAUCAGCCGGCGGAGUAGGAUGGCCCUUGGCUGGCAAAGAGGCUGGCAGGAGCUCAGGGACACAGGUCACCGGACUCUGCUUCCAUCCAGCGGGGCUGGCCAGGCAACAUUCCCAGCGCACAGCCCUAAAGCCCCUAAACCCUAAGUACAGGGGGGUCGCUGCUGCUCGGAACCAAACCAAGAUGCGGCUGGCUCUUAUCACAGCUUCCAGUCCACAGGCAGCACACUGCGGAGUUUUAGGCAGGCCAGUCGCUUUCACAUACUAAACUCUAUACCAAAAACGGUUUCUCAAAUGCUCUGUAGGGAGUAAUAGAUCUCGUAACAGCCAACUACCGGUAAACAACCGUAUCCCAACCGAAUCCACAACCAGCAACCACGACCCAGACCAGCUCUCGCCCUUUCUCAACCCCCAGCCCUCCUACUAGCCGUAAAGCCGUAGGCCAGAAAUGGCGUCAGGGGCUGUUCCAACCGUCCCUGUGCUGGCGCGGGGGGCGGGGCACCCCGCCUCACCAUCCCUAGGCUGGUCUUUCCCCACCGGCGCACUACCGAACAUCUGCUGGUAGGUGUCCUGGGAGGGUGGUGAUGCAUGCUUGUGCGCAUGUACAUAUGUAUGUGUUGAAGCAGUGGUGGGCGGUGUCUUUAUGUCCGGUUGCGGUGGGCAUUGUGCUGUUCUAUUGCCAACGUGGAGUGAGACAUUGGUUGUGUUUGUGUGUGCGUGGAAGGAAAGGGUUUUGUAACGAGGUAGCGGUGGUUGGAGUUGGGUGAGAGGGAGAGGAGGGAUGGUGGGUGCAAAGGUGCUGCCGGCGGGGUUCAGUCCUGGUGGAGCUAUGUGGCGGGUGGAGAGCAGUUUCCGGGACAUGCCGAGUAUCGAGUGUCACGUGUAGAUGUGUAUGCGGUUUUCUGCAUCAACCUCGCAACCACAUUCCCCCUCUUCCUGCCUCCCAGCGCCCACGGGGUCCUCUCUGUCGCACUCACGUUCCUUGCACAUGGAAGUGAUACAUGCAUACAUGCAUACAUAUUUACACAGGUAAACCACAACACACGCGGCAACCGAGCUAGCUAGCCGCCAUCACGACCGCCACACAGGGGCCCCCACCACACCCCCAGCUCACCAUGAGCUGACCGAUGCCCGACUAGAUCGUCUCGGUGAUGCCAUUGCCUGUCAUUCAGCUCAUUCGACCAACCAGACUAUUCCCCGCCGCCGCCGCCCCCACUGCCGCCCUGCUCAUCACCCGCGUGUUCCGCCGACCCCAUCGUCUCGGAAUCCAUGGUGCUGUGGGCUGUGGUGGCGGUGGCGGCACCGCCCCCUUCCUUCUCCGGAGGGGCGCCGCGGGCCAUGGUGGCGGUGGCGGUGCUGCCCCCUUCCUUCUCUGGAGGGGCGCCGCGGGCCGUGGUGGUGGUGGCAGUGCCACCGCCGCUACCGGCACCCCCUUCUGACGUGAUGGACCAUUGCCAGGAUUGCCAGGAUUGUAUAAAGUUGGUGGCACUAGGCAACAUCCAACACAUUUUUAAUGCAGACCCGAACACAUCACAAAAAUGUACAAUGGAAAGGCUUUAUGUUGAAUCUGUUUAGAUAUUAACCUCUGAGCAGCAGCAUUAGUGUUGGAACCCCAAUUCAGGUAAUCCACCUCCCUAUGUGCACCACAAGCGAGGAAGCGUAUGACAUGCAUGUUCAAGUACAAUAAUCCAAUGUGAGGAUGUAUGCUGUACAUGCAUACAUACAGACAAAUGCACCCAGCCAUGACCCACCCAGCCCUCACCUGCCAUCACCACUGCCACCCAGCCCAUUGCCUCCAUCUUCUCUUCCACCCAGCCCUCACCCACCAUCACCACUGCCACCAAGACCUAUCCCCUUGCUGUCUGCUGCCCCCUGUCCUACCCUGCACAGGUACCACUGCCGGUCCCCGGCCAUGGUACUGCCUCAUCCCACCCUUCCCAUCUGCUCCUUGAACAGCACAUGGCUGUUAACCUUCUUCACCAUUUAAGCAUCCAAUUGACAGUCGCCAGCACAAGCACAGAUGCUUUGGACUAAUGCGCCUGCAGCACUACAGGAAUAAAGCAGGUUCUCCUUGUCGUGCACAUUGCACUACUACCCCUGAGGUGUGUCUGCUACUACAUGGCUACACCUGCUUCAUACGCCUUUUAAUACUGCUCCCCAGCAUGCAUGAUUACACAAUGACCUGCAGCACCACAGACCCCAUUGCAUCCAUCCAGAAGCCAAUUCCACUCCCAGCAGCCAGAAGACACAUCAGCUGCAUGCUGUGCAUAGCUGUCAGCAGCAGCCGGUAGGGGCACCCUCAUCUGGGUAGCCGUAGCACUAUUGCUGCUGAUGGUGCAUAGAGCGAGCGCUGCACAUGCACGCGUGGUGCAAGUGUGGCUACCCGCAGCCCUCCCUGGCCCCACAUCCCAUGCCUGCCUGUGGUGUGAACCAGCAGCCCAUGCUGACCACACCCCGCCGCUGGGCCCAGGCACACUGGUGGGCAUUUGUCAGACAUCGCCAUUACACCACUGCUGCCACACCGGGCGCUGCUGCUGCCGCUGCCAUGCCAGGUGCCACUGUGGCCGUUGGGCUGGGUGCCACUGCAGCCAUUGGGCUGGGUGCCUCUGUGGCCGCCAGGCGGGGUGCCUCUGCGGCCGCCAGGCUGGGUGCCUCUGUGGCCACCGGGCGGGGUGCCUCUGCGGCCGCCGGGCGGGGUGCCUCUGCGGCUGCCGGGCGGGGUGCCUCUGUGGCCGCUGGGCGGGGUGCCUCUGCGGCCACCAGGCUGGGUGCCUCUGUGGCCACCGGGCGGGGUGCCACUGCUGCUGCCAGGCUGGGUGCCACUGCUGUUGCCAGGCUGGGUGCCACUGCUGCCCCCAGGCCGGGCAUCACUGCUGCCACCAUGCUGAGCACCACUGCUGCUGCCGCCAGUGCUGCCACUCAGGCCACCACUGCUGCUGCCCUCAUCAUCAGUCAACCCCUCAAUGCUGCCGCCACCGCUGCCUGAUAGCUGUGCACAAAACUGCAUGUCCUUUUCCAUGGUGUGGCAUGACAGCACACGCAGCACCCUCACGAUGUCUUCAUUGAAGUCAAACAAGGACUGUCCCAGCACCAUGGGCAGUGCCUCGAUUACAUCCACAUCCACCGGGAUGUUGUGCUCCUGAUCCCAAGGCUUCACAUGGACCAGCAUGUUCCGGCUCAGCCUGCACAUGUGGAUACCAGGCAGCAAUUAACGGGUCUGGGUCAGAUGCCCAUGGGUCUCUGGCUCAGCCAGCAAAUGGUAUUCAGCACACUCCAACAAGGCUGCAUGGGUGAGGCAGCAAGUAGCAAGAAGGGAAGCAGGACAGCCAGCCAGCCUACCGCAGGUAGAACACCAGCAUGGCCAGGUGAGUGCACCGUGCCUGCUUGUAGUCAUUUUGAAGUCGGUCAUUCCACUUCGAUGACAGCACCUUCUGGAACCAAGACUGCCGCUCCCACAGUUCCUGAAGGCCCAACACCAUGCCACCCUGGUCGCUUGCCAACUUGGUGGCGAUCUCGUCUGCAAUGGCCUGCAUGCAUGAGUGUUUGAUGUUGCAUGUUGAGUGUAUGGAGUACAUGGGGUAUAAGAGUGUGUGUAGGCUUGUAUGUAGGUGUUAGCCACUGGUAACUAUCUGGACAAGCCUGAGAAUCAAUUCACCAAUUGACAGGCAUCCUGCCAGCACACACAUAACCCAUAAAAGGCAUCGCAAUAUGUGCAGGAUGCACACUGCAACAGAGUGGUGACACAAGACUUCCAAAUAGCAUAGAAGGGCGCCAACACCCACACCUCCACAAAGAUAGGAGCUGCAAUGGAGACUCACCAAUGGACAACUACACUGCGGUGCAAGCACAAACUUCUACAUAAGGCCCCAUUCUACACAAACACCAUCUGCAUGUAGUGCUUCUCCCAUCUAAAUCUGACCCCAAGCCCUGCAGCCUAUGGGAUUACCUGCAACUUAGCCGUAAACUCAUCCAUCCCAGCUGGUGGCUUUUCUUGCUCCCACCGGCGGCUUGCACGGGGCCCAAGCAGGUAGUCGGCUGCCUCACCAAGGCGGAGUAGGUUCACCAUCGUGUCCAAUUGCAUUAGGGUGGCACUGAACUCCAGGCUGCUCCAGCUGUCCCGGAGUGUGCCAUCCUGGUUGAUCACCAACUGCGGGCAAGCAGGGCAAGGGUGGCAUGGCAUGCACUUAGCACCAACAUGGGAAGGGGGGCCCACAGCAAAACAGGGAAACAGGCUGAUACAUAAGCGCAGUUGAGCUUGCCCCAGAACUGAGCUUUUGCUGUGUUUAGUCAGCUCUAUGGGGCGGGGUAGAAGGGGCUUGGGCACAGGGUUCGACACUGACCUUCCUGAAACUCGCGGGCUCCCCUGUACCUCCCAAAUUUUCCUUACGGAGGGGCCCCCGUACCAGGCUCCUGUACCGGCCGAAAACCUUAGGGGGCCCCCAUAACCCCCGCAAAACCUUUACAGAGGCACUGUCCUUGGCUGAAACGCUGUGGAAAGUGACGCUUUGCAUUAUUUUGCCCUGUAAAUCGUUAUUUUCGUUAUUUUCUCGUGAACCAUUACACUCGGGGACACGGCACACUCAGCCAAGCACCAUGGCUGGUACAGGAGCCUAUAACACAUUCAGGCCUGCGGUUCUUGUCAAUCAGCUUCGAGUCCCUACCCUACCUUCUUUGCAAGGCUUAUCAUCUACUUUCUUUGUGGGAACAGGUUGGCUUGCAGGCUUUCCACCUGCGUCCGGAGAUCGGCGAGGAGUGGCUACAACCAGCUCCGUUCCCAUGAUAGAUGAGCGAGCUUACCAGAGCCCCAUAGGUCCGACAAUUUUAAGGUGGCGUGCUUCUUGGAGGGCAGGGUGGAUUAGGAGGCCCUUGGUCACCUCCUGACGACUCAUUGUCUGCCAUCACUGGAUGUUACAGACCAGAAGCUAUAAAAGAAUUAUGAAAAGUGUAGUUAAAUAUUGCAAUAUGAAUUAUGUCUGCCAAGUGUGUGGCCUUAUCCUUUAUAUGGUCCGUCCUCUCCCUUACAGGGCCCCGUACAGCCUCUUAUAAAUCCUUAAAAUCCUUACAGGAGCCACUGUAACCGGCCUUCGGCUGGUCCGGGGGCGGCCCCCUACAGGGGCGCUUCACGCCCCAAAAUCGUUACGGGAGCCACCGUAAAGUCCUACGGGCCCUGAUGGGGAUACCGAACAAAGGCCAAAAACUUACGGGCCCCGUACAGGGUGUCGAACCCUGCUUGGGCACAUGGUGAAAGACCAUCCCUCACCCGCGCAAUCUGACGCUGGUGCAGGUCGCGGAAGUAGUAGCACCCAUCCGUCUUCCUCUCCAGGUGUGGCUCCAGGAAUUGCUGUAAGCCAGGGUGCAGAUUUGUGUCAAGCCGCGCCCCCACAUCUGGAAACGCCAAGUCCAGCACAGCAAUGUGCUGCGACAAUGGCAUGCCCUCCAGGCCCAGCUUCCACUCCUUUCGUGACUGAGGUACAUAGUGAGAUUCAAUGGGUGGGCGCCAGAUAAAAACGCAAGAUUUGAGAUGAGCAGUAGUGGGUCCAGCCAUGAAGGAUUGGUGCAGCCAGCUCUAAAAAAUGCCAGCUCUACAGCAACUGGCCCCAGUUCAUGAAGACGACACAGACACUGCUAAGCUGAAGCACACAGAGGCCCUGAGAUGGGUGUGCCGCAGGUUACCUCGUCAAUGAGCUUCAUCCUCAUGAAUCCAUGGACAAAGGCUGCCACAUCCAGGCCUAGGGGGGGUAGAGCAUCAAUCCAGUCCUCCACCAGGACUGUCAGGAGCGCUAUGGAUGGAGGGCAGAGCUCCAGCAGCUUGGGGUCCAGCUGCACUCCGGCCUUGGAGCUCUUCAGCAGCUCCCAUGCCAAGCUCAUGUGCUCGGGCCUGUAGGUUGCCGGUAGGUUCACGGCACUGGCACCAGUGAUGACUGUGUAGCCAUUGGGUGGCAUGUUGGCCAGGCUAAUCCAGGUCAGCACCAUGGAGCUGCCGGUUAUGCACCACAGCAUGGUGUGGGAGCCAUACACCAGCAGUGGCUUCAUGAAUGAGUCCCGGAUGUAUGCAGCCCCACUUGCAUCCAGCUUGCCAUCAAUGGUCGGCAGGAACAGGCUCUGCAUUUCGUCUGAAUGGCAGGGAUAAGGAGGCAGGCAGCGACACAGCAAGGGGGCGGAUUAAGAGUAUAUUGUUGGAGAUUGGAAACACCAGGACAGGGGACCAAACAAGUACUGCGAGGCUCAGCCCAGGUGCAGGUGUGUUGUAUUCGCUUCUUAAAUCUGGUCCCAAACUGAUACAUUUUUCUGUCUUAUUUUUCCUUUCUCGCUUGGUGCGGUUGCUGGACAUGUUUGCUGGAACUAACUGAAUUCCAACUGCCUAUUUUGCCACUUUUUCUGUCAGAUCUUUAUGGCUCCAACCUCUGGGUCAGACGGCGAGCAGGAUGCUGUCAUGGAUGCUUACAAGUAAAUGCCACCUCAGGUGGAAGUCCAUACUUGCAGAAGUAUGGGCGGGGGUCCUAGCACAGGCUACGACUGGGACGCUGGUCCCUGGCUCGCAGAGCCCCAUCAUCAAUUGGAAGCAUGGAUCAACGGUACACCAUUCUGGGACUGGACCACGCCUUUUCGGAAUUGGCUGUACGAUUCAUGGGAUGGCUGCAUCCUCCGCUACUUAAGCGGGCGAAACUCUUCCAAAUCAGUGUGUUCCGAUGCCACCAUCCAGUUGUGGUUGAGUAAGAUAUAACAAGGUGCAGCCGGUCUAGUAAAAGCUCCAGAAGCACAUUGAAGCAGGAUGAGGGGGGCGAAGUGUCGGAUGCACAAGUUGUUGGUAUACCCAAAGGGGUGUAGUGAAAGGAGCAAGCAGAAUUGGCUUGUGUCCCCCUUCACCCAGAUGUUUGUGCAGUCAAACAUGCAGCAUGCACUUCUUAAAAUCAAAAAUGGUAAUGGGGCUUGCGACUUGCACCUGCACAUCUGCAUGCCCAUGGUUGUGUAAAGCAAGCAAGUUGCUGCAUGAGAAUGGCAUAGUUUGCCAUGCAAAAUGAUACAGCAAGCAACCAAAAAAGCCAUUCAGACCCAGCAAUUCAAGAGAGAGAAACCAGGCGAAGAAUCCAGGAGCCUGUGAUAAAGCCUCCAUCAGCAUGACCCCAUACCGCAUAACACGAGCACCGGCACCUCCACCGCCUUAAGGAACUCCCGGAUGGUGUGGCCCAGCAAGCCAGGGUCGGUGCUGAAGAAGUGCCGCACCAGCACAUCCUCUGCAGCCUCCAGAGCACCCUCCCGCAUGGGAACAUGCUCCUUGCGUGCCCAACUCAGCAGCACACCCAGCAGGUCCAGCAACAUGGCUUUAGCACCUUCCUGCGUGCAGGGUGUUGACAGAGCACACCAUUUGAGCCACCACCCUCACAGCCAGCUCCCAUUACCAUCAUGCACAAAUCAAGCCUUCUGCAACCAAUGCCUCUGCAGCACAGUCAUGGCAUGCUCACAGAAGCAGCAUAAUGGAAUGGAAGUGCUUCAGCAGCCUUGAGAGUGUGUUCCAAUAUUUAACACCCACUUGCCUGCCGAUGCAGCAGACCACAGUUCAGGCGCAGGGCCACCAUGCCUGCCAGGGGGCCCUCCCCUCCCUGCUGGCGCAGCACCUCCACCACCACUGCAGGAACCACAUGCUCCAGGGUGAACGACUUGCCCGUCUGCAACAUGCAUGUGCAUUGAUAAGAGGUCAUAGGGCUACUCAAGUGUUGCGUGGUCCUGUGCUGUGGCACCGACAUGGAGUCACACUGUGGCUAAAGAUACCUAGGAUGGGAGGUACAACACAACAGCGUACCUUGACAAGCCCUGAGACCAGCAAGGGUGAGGGGGCUUUAGCCCGGUCUUUGUCCACCGCGUCACUCAUGGCCAUUUUAGCCCAUAAGCGGAUACAAUCCACCACCCUCACUUUGUCCAUCCUUGCAGUGUCCACCCUCGCCACAUCUAUGUAUGACACCACUGAGUCGCUGUAAUGCAGCUCCACAAUAUCAUUGUUGUUGACCUUGUAGUGCAGCUUGGCCGCACUAUCCACCAGCCGCCUUGGAGCUCGUGCACCUGCACCAUCACCCAGGGGGCAGGGCACAAGGUUGCUGGCAAGGUAAAAGGGACUUGCAGGACAGUUGGCAGUGGCAACCGUGUUGCACACUUUACCCCUGUGCUAGCUGCAUGCACAUCUCGAAAGUGAGGUCACUGUCGUUUGCCAAAUCGAUUCUUUACAUGUGUCUUAAAACCCUGCAAAGUACACUCACCAGCCCCUGCCAGGAUCCCCAGGCCCAGGCCAGCUGCCGUGCCUGCAUGAUGUGGGAGCGGCCAAGGAGCACAUGCAGGUGAAAAGUUGCAUGCCGCUGCACAUGCUUGCUGCACAUGCUUGAUGCAGUCCGGUGUGCAGGGUGAGAUGGGGGGUUGGGCAUGAAAAUCCUGAUACACAGCAGAGGGGGGGUGCUCAUUUCAAGCACUAGGGCAUGCCAACCCAGGAUGCUUCAGUAUUGCAAACCAAUACAAUGCAUGCUACAACAACUUCAACGUGAGCUUUGAUGUUGUGCUGCUGCCACAACAGCGGUUGGCAUUCAGCCUAUGUUGUGCUGUGUGAGGAAGUCUCCUCAUCCCCAAUCAACCAUAUGCCAAUCCAUACCCUACAGCAUCAUGAACAUGCUCACUGGCAGCCACAGGCAGCAAGCCUACAAGGGGAGGAAAGUAGAACGGAUCCCAGUGAGAUGGCUGGUUUACCCAUGCCAUGGGCAAACAACAAAUCCAGGCAGGCGGCUGGCAGAGGUUAAGGCCUGACUUCUGCUCCCAGUCGACCCGGGUUCAAAUCCACCUGCCAACCUCUAGGGUGUUUGAGAGGUGGUGAAAUGGGAGGUGGCCCCCCAUCUUGUGGACGGUGUAGGACGUGAUAAAAUCAACUUGCAAGCUGACCAGGAACUAAGUUGAGGCACUGUUGUUCCGUUAGAUUUGGUUGGAUGCUAGUGGUGAGUUGCCAAACUCAAAGAGUACACUCUGAAGUCAGAUGGGGUGAAUGGCUUAGGGCAAAAUGGAAAAUUCUCUAAAAUGUCUCCAACACAAUCUUCACAUGUGAAGCCCUCAGCAGGCCACACAACAAAGGGUCUGACCUUUUCAAGAGCCAGGAGUGCUGGUGGGAUAAGCAUUAUGCGUGUGGAAAAUUCGCGGGCAUGCUUUGACAGACCCCGGAUUGGCUGCUGUGCGGACCGGCCAGCAGGUUGCCCCUGCUACUGUCUGCAUCCGCAGGUCAUUUGGCAUGCAGGAGUCCACAGAACUAUUGAACUGCUUAAUAAUGGCUGCUUACAAAUUGCGAGAACAAAAACAAAUGAAAGAAGAAAGACAAUUAAUAAAAAAAGAUACACACCAAUAUAAAAGAUAGCUCUGACUUCCACUGGAGAAUAGAAUAUUCGCUUGCUUGACUUGCUGAGUGCAGCCUUCAUAAGCAGCAGCAGGCAUGGGCAGUGUACACCGCAUUGAGGAGCGCUGCUAGGUCGCACGGUUCCUUGAAUAAUCACCAAGCAGCAUUAAGCCUGGGCAUAUGCAGCUUCGGUCAGCACGGCAGGUUGAUGAUAGCUGCACACUGUUAUCAAGACAUGCAACGGUUGCUGCAUGUUGCUGGCGCGUCAGGUAUGCUACACAGCACCCUCUUGCAGCAUGCGUUGCAGGCCUGAAAGGAAAGACUGGUAUCAAAAGCUUGCAGUCACCACAGCCGCCCACUUGUUUUGGGGCCUAAAGACCUGCCUAAAUCCCUACAACCCUACUGUGUGCCACGGUUCUACAAACUUUUGUGUCGUGCACAGUGCCAGGGCGCCAUACAUUUUCCCCUUUUCAACGUGUGUGUAAACGGUUGUGAUGUGCAUCCGGCUGCCUGAACAAGCUCUCCAUAUCCCCACUGCUAGCAGUGGCUUCCAUCCACCCACAGAACACUUCCACAUACACACACAUGCCUGUGCCGCCUUUCCUUCAGACUGCAGUUUUCUCACUACCAUUGCCAUCAUGCAUGUUAUGCACAGCAAGCCACUUUCACCACCAUACGGCAGCAGCUGGCUGCAGUCAUUGCGGGCACCCUAUGAAGCUGCAAUGACCACAGCCAGCUGCUUCACCAGAAACCCACGAUGAUUGAAGUCUUCUUCUGUUACCCCAACACUUGCAACUUCACGUACUUUAUAAACUCUGGUGAUAUUGCUUUCGGAUAUCUUUUUCUAUUACUAAAACUUCGCAACCCUGCAUGACCAAGACCUUGGCCUUGGUGUGCCUUUGUACUGAAGCAAUGCAAAAAUCAAGUCAGACUCACCAGCAACAACGCCUGGGCCAGCUGUAGCUGCAGCUGCACAUUAAGGAGAAACGAGAGGGAUGCACAAUUGACAUCAUUAGUUGCUCAACAAUGGGAACGUGUUCAUAGCAGCAGUUAGCAGUCAGCACUCAGGCUGGAUACGAUCAUUUAAGCAAUCAUUCAAGGUUGUGUAGACACGACCGGUAUGUCAUAGUUAGUCAUGGGAGCCCAGGAAAUACCCUAAAACUGCAAUAUGACUAAAAAGAGUCAGCAUGUGUGCAUGUACCAAGGAAAUAUAACCCCUGCGUUUGUUUUUCCGCAGCAAAAUGAUUUGCACCUCAUGCAGGUGCACCUGUCUGGGUGUACCUCCCCUCCAAGAAGAAGGAAAGGCGUCAGCUGUGUGUCACUCAAGACAUACACUACAACAAUCGAAUAACAAGCAUUGUUCCCAUGUACAGCGGGUGUUUCCAUCACAGCGGGUGUUUCUAUCGCGAACACAAACAAGCAAACUGGUGCUCGUCGGGAGCCCAGUCACAGGCCCAGCCGCAGCGAAAUGACGAACCCGAGAAACUCCCAACCCAGUCUAGGAAUGCGCUGAGCUUCCACAAGCAGCCAAGUUUGCCGAUGCAUGCCUGUUUUGAUUGCCUCCUUCAAGGCGUUGCGUUGCCGGAGAUUAAGUUGCGAUCGUAGGUCAUUUACGUCGAGACAACGAAAUGCGCCUCCUGCCUCAGCGUUCACAUCGUAACCCUCCCUUUCAAGAACUUGGAGUAUGGGAGCUAUCGAGGCCUCAGUCUCUCCGUCGACUGCAGCGAUCGCUUCACGCAGAGUCGGCAUUGGAGCAGAAGUUCUGCGAGGCUACACCACAUCGGAUCCUAUGGCAUGUCUCAUGGCUGACCCUGCUAGCGCAAAAGCUCGUCCGCUCUCAACCGCAACGCUUAAACAAAGUGAAGAGAUAAGGCUGGGCUUGUUUCUGCGGUUAGCUGUAAAUAAAAUUGUUUGGAUUGUGGCGGCGCAUCUCUGUGGAGCUGUGUUGUGAAGGCAAGACGCCCGGGGGGCCCUGACUCGAAGUGAGCCCCACCCUGGAGUUAGUUGGUACCGCUUUCAUGUACUUCCUCAAACAAACUGCUUGUCUAAUACUGUGAUGUUUUAUUUGUUAUAUUCAAGUAAACUGAACUGAACUUGCAAGGCGCCACCGCAGUUGCCGGUGCCAUGAAAGCGCGACCGUCCUGGGACACAGCAUCAGGCCCAGAAAUACACUUAUAGGGUUACAGAAAACAUAGCUGUAAACAGAAAUAAACAAAGCCAUGGAGUUUGUCCUGGACCCGCGCCAUCUGCUUGCAUCGCGAAAACCACGCGUCGCGCGCCGCAAUGCCAGUAAAGUUUGCCAUGGCCACAAAACAGCAAAGCAAAACAUACAUUGUUAAAACAAACAACAACGGGGAUAACGGCUCGACGGUCAACACCCUCGCUCGCGGUUCAGUUUCUAAAAACAUAUACCCCGCCGGCGGACGGUCCCCUGUCCGCAACGCCGUACAUCCUGACCGUUCCAGCGGACGCCUAGCGGACGGUCAUGGAAACGAUGGUCCAAAGCUCCAAAACAUCUGUAUGUAGAUGAUUCAUGAGACGCUAAUAAUUAAUGCUCCAGCUUGCACUCCUUGGCAAGCAAUAAACGCGCAAAACACUCGCCAGGAGAAACUAACCCCAAAAUUGUGACGCACAUAGUCAAAAGACUUCUAGCAUAAAAGGAGAAAGCAAUCGAAAGAAAAAAGACAACAUCCCAAGGCGCGCGGCGGACAUUCUAAUGACCUGUUUAUGUAACCUGCUUAAAUAACACCAACGCACUGGAACAAUUGAAUCAUGCAAUAAGGUCAUUGCAAUGGCCACAAGCACUGGGCAUUAGUGAAAGGGAUUCAGCAAAGACUGACCGUAACGCCCAACACGUCGUUCCAUCCCUUUGUCGGCUCUGAAUGGCACAAUGAAUGCUCUACUGGGUAAAUGAUCAUUUGGCGGUGGAAAGAGGCCAUUGUAUGGCAUCCGAGCUGGCGCACAGCUUGCGCAUGUCCCCAAGACCCAACACGGCACCACGCCCCGCACCCGGUUACGCCCUUGUCCUGCAUUCCACCUGCCAGCCUGUCUGUGCAACACAGCGCAUGGCGGGCAGGCCAACGAAGCCAUACCAAAGUUUCGUUCAAGACUGGGGUCCCAAGCUCUCAGAAUCCCAGGCUGCCAGGCUCCCAGGCACACAGGCUCCCAUGCACACAGGCUCUUAGAAUCCCAGGCUCCCAGGCACACAGGCUCUUAGAAUCCCAGGCUGCCAGGUUCCCAGGUUCCCAGGCUCCCAGGCACACAGGCUCCCAGGCUCUUAGCAUCCCAGGCUGCCAGGUUCCCAGGCUGCCAGGUUCCCAGGCUGCCAGGUUCCCAGGCUGCCAGGCACACAGGCACACAGGCACACAGGCUCCCAGGCUCCCAGGCACAAAGUCUCUUAGAAUCCCAGGCUGCUAGGUUCCCAGGCUCCCAGGCACACAGGCUCCUAGAAUCCCAGGCUGCUAGGUUCCCAGGCUGCCAGGCACACAGGCUCUUAGAAUCCCAGGCUGCCAGGUUCCCAGGCUGCCAGGUUCCCAGGCUGCCAGGUUCCCAGGCUGCCAGGUUCCCAGGCUGCCAGGUUCCCAGGCUGCCAGGUUCCCAGGCUGCCAGGCACACAGGCUGCCAGGCACACAGGCACACAGGCACACAGGCUCCCAGGUUCCCAGGCUCCCAGGCACACAGGCUCCCAGGUUCCCAGGCUCUCAGAAUCCCAGGCUCCCAGGCACACAGGCUCUUAGAAUCCCAGGCUCCCAGGCACACAUGCUCUCAGAAACCCAGGCUGCCAGGUCCCCAGGCUCUUAGAAUCCCAGGCUUCCAGGCACACAUGCCCUUAAAAUCCCAGGCUGCCAGGUUCCCAGGCUCCCAGGCACACAGGCUCCCAGGCACACAGGCUCCCAGGCAAACAGGCUCUUAGAAUCCCAGGCUGCCAGGUUCCCAGGCUGCCAGGCACACAGGCACACAGGCACACAGGCUCCCAGGCUCCCAGGCACAAAGGCUCUUAGGAUCCCAGGCUGCCAGGUUGCCAGGUUCCCAGGCUCCCAAGCACACAGGCUCCCAGACUCUUAGCAUCCCAGGCUGCCAGGUCCCCAGGCUCCCAGAUUCCCAGGCUCUCAGAAUCCCAGACUCCCAAGCACACAAGCUCCCAGGUUCCCAGGCUCUCAGAAUCCCAGGCUCCCAGGCACACAUGCUCUCAGAAACCCAGGCUGCCAGGUUCCCAGGCUCUCAGAAUCCCAGGCUUACAGGCACACAGGCUCCCAGGCACACACGCUCUCAGAAUCCCAGGCUCCCAGGCACACAUGCUCUCAGAAUCCCAGGCUGCCAGGUUCCCAGACUCUUAGGUUCCCAGGCUCCAAGGCUCCCAGGUUCCCAGGCUUACAGGCACACAGGCUCCCAGGCACACAGCCUCUUAGAAUCCUAGGCUGCCAGGUUCCCAGACUCUUAGGUUCCCAGGCUCCCAGGUUCCCAGGCUCUCAGAAUCCCAGGCUCCCAGGCACACAUGCUCUCAGAAUCCCAGGCUGCCAGGUUCCCAGACUCUUAGGUUCCCAGGCUCCCAGGUUCCCAGGCUCUCAGAAUCCCAGACUCCCAGGCACACAGGCUCUUAGAAUCCCAGGCUUCCAGGCACACAGGCUCUUAGAAUCCCAGGCUUCCAGGAACACAUGCUCUUCGAAUCCCAGCCUCCCAGGCACACAGGCUCCCAGAUCCCCAGGUUCCCAGGUUCCCAGGCUCUCAGAAUCCUAGGCUCCCAGGCACACAGGCUCUAAGAAUCCCAGGCUGCCAAGCUCCCAGGUUCCCAGGCUCUCAGGUUCCCAGGCUCUUAGAAUCUUAGGCGCACAGGCACACAAGCUCUUAGAAAGCCAGGCUGCCAGGUCCCCAGGCUGCCAGGUUCCCAGGCUGCCAGGUUCCCAGGCUGCCAGGUUCCCAGGCUGCCAGGUCCCCAGGCUGCCAGGUCCCCAAGCUCCCAGGUCCCCAGGCUGCCAGGUCCCUAGGCUGCCAGGUCCCCAGGCUGCCAGGUUCCCAGGCUGCCAGGUCCCCAGGCUGCCAGGCCCCCAGGCUGCCAGGUUCCCUGGGGACCUGGCUGCCAGGUCCCCAGGCUGCCAGGCUGCCAGGCACACAUGCACACAGGCUCCCAGGCACACUGGCUCUUAGAAUCCCAGGCUGCCAGGUUGCCAGGUUCCCAGGCUCCCAAGCACACAGGCUCCCAGACUCUUAGCAUCCCAGGCUGCCAGGUCCCCAGGCUCCCAGAUUCCCAGGCUCUCAGAAUCCCAGGCUCCCAAGUAAGCAUGCUAUCAGAAACCCAUGCUUACAGAAUCCCAGGCGCCCACGCUCCCACGUUCCCAGGUUCCCAGGCACACAGGCUUUUAGAAUCCUAGGCUUCCAGGCACACAGGCUCUCAGACACACAGGGUCCCAUGCACACAGGUCGCCCAUGGCUGCGGUCCAAGCCUGGCCCCAACCGCCAGAUAAAUAUGCUCCUACAUCUAAUUGACUUAGCCGAAUGCUUGUUUUAGCUUUGUUUACAUUUCAUGCAUUUGCUGGCAAGUCGCAAAUUGGCGAUUUCAUGGUGUAAUGGAUAAACCAGCGCACUGGCGCGAGGUGGGAUGGCUCCUGUGCUCGAAAUAAUGGCCGAGGACGUCCAUUGCUAAAGGGGGGGCAAUGUAACGACGCAAGGCCCAACUGAGCAUCCCGGGUUACGCCUUUGCUGUGUUACACCUAGCGCUUGCAACGACGUAGCCCCCAGUAUAGCACAUUGCAUUACAUUAUCCAUGAAAAGAUUAUAAAGCUUUAUGGCUGGUUGCAUAACAAAUUGCGGGUGCGAGGUGACUGCUUGCAUAACAAAUUGCGGGUACUGCUAAAGUUGCAAGUCGCAAGUCGCAAGUCGCAAGGAACACGCAAAAUUUCUAUAUGAAAUUCUAUAUACGCGAAUACGUGCGUGAACCACGCCUGUAGGGUGUAAACAGAUAGCAUUUGCGGCGUCCGCGUCUGCGGGCUAUGGCCGAUCGCAGGCGUAACUAUGCUGAAGUGGCUUGCGGCCUAUGUGGCUUCGUCUGUCUGAGCAGUGCAAUGUAGCUGUCUGAGCAAUGCAAUGUAGCUGUUCAUACGCACAAGCUCACUCAGGCCUCAUCUAGUUCUUAUCAGUAUUUGCUUAAUGUAUCUCAUCAAGUUCUUAGCAGUAUUUGCUUAUGGGCCUUCUGGUGGGGUUCCGAGGACUUUUGCCAAUCGGGGAGUCUAAUUGCAAAUUCCCCUGUGGUUGCGGGUUCUGAGCCUGCCCUUGGAUUUGCUUUUGGAUGUCUAGGUGACUUGUGUUGUCUGGUCUGGGUGGGAGUCUUGUUUGCCCUCAUCGUAUCAGGUGCAGUGCACGGCCUGCUGGCCCGCUGGCUGUACUCUUUGUGAGUCUGGAGCCCACUGUAACAACCACACUGCCUCGAGGCAUCCCUAGCCCCGGCGGUGGACUGAUAGGAACUAGCCUAGUCCGCACAAGUUCCACACAAGUGUGGGGGUGUCCGUAAGAGCUGGGGGGCCCAUGGGCGGUAAAUCGUUUUUAGGGCGGUUUUUGGUGGACCAUCAUCGUCCACCCUCGUCCGCUUGAGCACGGAGCGCCUUAGAGCAACAUGCCGGGUCCCAGACUUCCGAGAGGAACCUGGCUAGUGCCAGGGGUGGGGCCUCGGUCAUAAUGGUGUGCAUGUUGCACCCUUGAAACACGAGGUCACGUUCGCCCGUGUACUAAUGUACGCCAGGCAUUCCACAAAGACAUGCAUUUUGUCUUCAACCGCCCCGCAGUCACAAAGCCUGCAGGUGCACGCUGUGCACUCAUGGCCAUUAGGUUGGUUAAUCUCUAACUCCCAACAGCCUAACCGGAAACAUAUAAGCAUUUGAUGCAAACAUUGGGGCAUGGCGAUUUCAGGUGGUCAUUAUGGAUUUCAGCACGAACAAUGAACCCUGCCCGCUCCCCCUGGUCAGUUGUGGGCAAGCAUCAGAGAAUCGGGUGAGAGACCGAGCUUUCUAUUAGGGCCUGGUGCCUUAAUAGGGAGGGGUAGGGUCUGUACAGGGUUUCCAGGUUUCCUCGGUCUUCUUGAACCUUCACCCCAAGAGCCAGUCUUCUUGUGUGUUUCAGGCUCAGUGCUCAAACUCGCGUGACGGAGCCUUGACCCCCGGGGGAGGAGAGCGGAACUAGUGGACUUGCGGCUCUCGGCUGCCUAGGAGGGGACAGAGGCCCCUUACGCCCCUCUCCUGUCUGCGGGAGGAGCUUAGGUGGUCUUUCUGUUGGGGCUGGGCAGCAGUCCCUGGCCAGUUUCAGGCACGGUCAAAUACUUGCAACACACGCACACGCACACACACACACACGCACACACACACACACACACACACACACACACACGCGCGCGCGCGCAAAAGCUCACGAGAUUGAAAUGAAUUGUUACAGAGUGGGAGGCUUCUGGGCCAUUUGAACAUAUUGUCACACAAGCUCGCGAUAUGCCAGCUGAACUGAUUCCCUGGUAAAAACCUUCUUGCGGACGAACCCAGCUCAGGCAAUGCACGGCUAAUAUCAGGGCCGCUCCAAAGAGUGCCCAGUAAGUUUGUCAUAGCGGUGGCCAGAUCGGAGAGCGAUGCUUGGUCGUCGGCCUGCACCAGCUCCACCAGCGUCUGUGCAGCGAUCUCAUCAAACUUGCGUGGUUUGCGUGUUCCUGAUUGUCCUCUAAGCGGCAGGACAUCGCCAUUCGCCACGUAGGACUGUAUGAUAGCAUGCACAGUCCUCUCGCAAGGUCUGUGCCCGAAAGCCUCAGCUAUUUGCGCUUGCGUGUAACCCUCGUCGAAAUAGAGGUGGCAAACACGUUCGCGCACUUGUUUGCUGUAGUAGUAACGGUUCAAUACUUCUCCCAUUGUGAGAUCCGCUCUACAAACUGAGUAUGCACACGUACGUAUUCGCGUAUAUAGAAUAUUAUAAUAGAAAUUAUGCGUGUUCCUUGCGACUUGCGACUUGCAACUUGCGACUUGCAACUUGCCAAAUACAGAAGUACGGAGGGCCCUAUGCCAACCACGGAUAUCACACCAGGACGAGACAGUCCGAGUUUUGGCCAUUCCAGCACAGAAUGCAGAGUCAGACAACAGNNNNNNNNNNNNNNNNNNNNNNNNNNNNNNNNNNNNNNNNNNNNNNNNNNNNNNNNNNNNNNNNNNNNNNNNNNNNNNNNNNNNNNNNNNNNNNNNNNNNNNNNNNNNNNNNNNNNNNNNNNNNNNNNNNNNNNNNNNNNNNNNNNNNNNNNNNNNNNNNNNNNNNNNNNNNNNNNNNNNNNNNNNNNNNNNNNNNNNNNNNNNNNNNNNNNNNNNNNNNNNNNNNNNNNNNNNNNNNNNNNNNNNNNNNNNNNNNNNNNNNNNNNNNNNNNNNNNNNNNNNNNNNNNNNNNNNNNNNNNNNNNNNNNNNNNNNNNNNNNNNNNNNNNNNNNNNNNNNNNNNNNNNNNNNNNNNNNNNNNNNNNNNNNNNNNNNNNNNNNNNNNNNNNNNNNNNNNNNNNNNNNNNNNNNNNNNNNNNNNNNNNNNNNNNNNNNNNNNNNNNNNNNNNNNNNNNNNNNNNNNNNNNNNNNNNNNNNNNNNNNNNNNNNNNNNNNNNNNNNNNNNNNNNNNNNNNNNNNNNNNNNNNNNNNNNNNNNNNNNNNNNNNNNNNNNNNNNNNNNNNNNNNNNNNNNNNNNNNNNNNNNNNNNNNNNNNNNNNNNNNNNNNNNNNNNNNNNNNNNNNNNNNNNNNNNNNNNNNNNNNNNNNNNNNNNNNNNNNNNNNNNNNNNNNNNNNNNNNNNNNNNNNNNNNNNNNNNNNNNNNNNNNNNNNNNNNNNNNNNNNNNNNNNNNNNNNNNNNNNNNNNNNNNNNNNNNNNNNNNNNNNNNNNNNNNNNNNNNNNNNNNNNNNNNNNNNNNNNNNNNNNNNNNNNNNNNNNNNNNNNNNNNNNNNNNNNNNNNNNNNNNNNNNNNNNNNNNNNNNNNNNNNNNNNNNNNNNNNNNNNNNNNNNNNNNNNNNNNNNNNNNNNNNNNNNNNNNNNNNNNNNNNNNNNNNNNNNNNNNNNNNNNNNNNNNNNNNNNNNNNNNNNNNNNNNNNNNNNNNNNNNNNNNNNNNNNNNNNNNNNNNNNNNNNNNNNNNNNNNNNNNNNNNNNNNNNNNNNNNNNNNNNNNNNNNNNNNNNNNNNNNNNNNNNNNNNNNNNNNNNNNNNNNNNNNNNNNNNNNNNNNNNNNNNNNNNNNNNNNNNNNNNNNNNNNNNNNNNNNNNNNNNNNNNNNNNNNNNNNNNNNNNNNNNNNNNNNNNNNNNNNNNNNNNNNNNNNNNNNNNNNNNNNNNNNNNNNNNNNNNNNNNNNNNNNNNNNNNNNNNNNNNNNNNNNNNNNNNNNNNNNNNNNNNNNNNNNNNNNNNNNNNNNNNNNNNNNNNNNNNNNNNNNNNNNNNNNNNNNNNNNNNNNNNNNNNNNNNNNNNNNNNNNNNNNNNNNNNNNNNNNNNNNNNNNNNNNNNNNNNNNNNNNNNNNNNNNNNNNNNNNNNNNNNNNNNNNNNNNNNNNNNNNNNNNNNNNNNNNNNNNNNNNNNNNNNNNNNNNNNNNNNNNNNNNNNNNNNNNNNNNNNNNNNNNNNNNNNNNNNNNNNNNNNNNNNNNNNNNNNNNNNNNNNNNNNNNNNNNNNNNNNNNNNNNNNNNNNNNNNNNNNNNNNNNNNNNNNNNNNNNNNNNNNNNNNNNNNNNNNNNNNNNNNNNNNNNNNNNNNNNNNNNNNNNNNNNNNNNNNNNNNNNNNNNNNNNNNNNNNNNNNNNNNNNNNNNNNNNNNNNNNNNNNNNNNNNNNNNNNNNNNNNNNNNNNNNNNNNNNNNNNNNNNNNNNNNNNNNNNNNNNNNNNNNNNNNNNNNNNNNNNNNNNNNNNNNNNNNNNNNNNNNNNNNNNNNNNNNNNNNNNNNNNNNNNNNNNNNNNNNNNNNNNNNNNNNNNNNNNNNNNNNNNNNNNNNNNNNNNNNNNNNNNNNNNNNNNNNNCCGUAAGUUUACUUCAUCACUUAUCUCGUUGGAAGUGCGAGGUAGGAUGGUGCUUAUAGGCGAUUUGUCAGCCCUUGAGCCCUCGGCUCGUACUAGGGUGGUUUGCAGGUACGGGGAACGCACCCACGGACAUGUAACAACAACAACAAGUGCGGCACAAAUGCAUGACAAGCGGCUGCGGAAGACAGUGCGCUUAGGGAGCCCGCAGUGGCGGCAAGCCGAACGGAAGGCGUUGAUUUAGGAGCAUAUAGAAGGUGACAGCGGAGGGCGGUCCACUUGUAGAAACACCGCUGCGGCGGUCCGAUAGUGCGGCACCAAUUGCAUGAUAAGAGGCUGUAGAAGGCAGCGCACUUAGGAAGCCCGCCAAGGCGGCACACCGAACUGACGGCUUUAUGAUUUAAGAAUGUGUAGACGGCGACCACGGAAGGCGGCCCGCUUGUAGAAAAGCUGCUGCGGCAGUCCUCAGAAUACGGCACUAAAAUGCCUGACAAGCGACUGCGGAAAACAGCACGAUUAAGAAGCCCACCGCGGCGGCACACCGAAUGGGAGGCGUUGUGACCUAGGAGGAUAUAGACAGCGACCGCGGAAGGCGGUGCGCUUGUAGAAAACUGCUGUGGUGGCCCGCAAAGCGCGGCACAGAAUGCAUGACGAGCGGCGGUGAAAGGCAACGCGAUUAGGAAGCCUGCCGUGGCGGCACGCCAAACCGAAGGUGUGGUAUGGGAACUUGUAGACAGCGACCACAGAAGGCAUCGCGCUUGUAGCAAACCGCUGGGGUGGUCCACUGAGUUCGGUUCACAAGAGGCUGCAGGAGGUAGCGUUCUUGAGUAACCCGCAGUGAUGGCUUGCCGGAUUACAGGCGUGGCGAUUUAGGAGUAUGUCAACAACGAUCACAGAAGGCGGUGCACUUGUAGAAGGGAGACGGGGAGAGACACGUCUCAGACACGGGACCAGGAGUACCAGACACGAAGCGGGGUACAGAACGAGCCACAGCUAUUAGAAGGCCGUUACUGUUCCCCAUAAAACCCCAUAAAGGGCCGACCCACUGAUGGAGACCAUAAGGGUAGUUGCCCGAGUAAGGUGUGGAAAAGCCAGAAAUAAACAAUCGUAUCAAACGCCCUUGCCUGGGAAUGUUGUUCAGCUAGGCGGCUGAAGAAUGCAUUAGCAUCUUUCUGUAUGAGGAGGGGCGAAGGCCAAUACAAACGUCAUUGGUUGGCCCAUCAGGAAACCAGAGGCAAGGAUGCCGUGAGGGGAAAAGGGCGCUACAAAACGUCAAGGCCUGCCCAGGCGCAGGCUACGGGAGUACCAGGGAGGGCCGCUAGACUGCCGGGGCCAGUGAAGGUUACCCUGUUAAAACGCAAGGCACGGCCAUAGGAGCAGAGAAAAAUUGGCCGAGAACUACCGGAGCAGUCGGCUUCCCCGAGCAGUAGGGAAUCGGCGAGUGGCAGUGACGAAGUUAUGCAACCCGGGCGGACGACCAGGGCCAGGAGGGCGGAAUCGGAGGACAUACGCCAGGCUAGAGCCGAAGGGUCAUCCGCUGCCGGCAGACAAGCGGAAAGGGACAUCCGGUCCGAAUCCAGGGGCCCGGUCGGGCAACAAGUGGAUUGGCGAGCCUUGGGGAAAGACGUUGGCUGCAAAACACGGAGACAAGGCCAUGUCACUCAGAGGCACGUUCGAGCCCAACGCGGCCUCAGACCCAGGAGCGAUAGUGGCAUUACGAAUCGGAGGAUUUGGGCUCCGAGGACGGCAGUCAACUUUUGUGGGGCGGCGCAAAGAACUUAUGGUGAUCGGUCUGACGGACGCGCUGGAACAGUUUUUCUGGCGGGUAGGGCAGGAUCUCUGCGAUGGAUACACGAAUCACAGGAGGCGAGGCUACGACGUAGACUGACACCCCUUAUCGAAGAGAUAGCAGAACAACUGGCAGCAGCCUUUCGAACAGCAGCGGGAACCUAUCAGGGUGAGUCCAGUUUUCGGGGGAAAGUGUACAGUUCCCCAAUUGAUGACUACCGCGUGUCAGAGGAGCGAUGCGGGGCCAACUUAGGUGACUUAUAAUGGGUGCCCGGGUGCACCACCCGGGGGUGGUCGGGGGGACGCGGAGACGGGAGUGAGAGAGUUGGAGAUACGAAAUGGGGAGAGUUUACAGUGGGAGCAGGAGUAAGGCAAGGCAGAGAGGGGGGCGCGCGGAGCGCGGGUGGCCGGGGUGUUUUAGGUUGGCAGGGGGAUGGAGGGUGGGACGCCGUGCGUGGUGCGUGGGGCUCGCUUAGGCGGAGAGCGUUACAAAGGUUGUAAGUGAGCCCUUCGUAUCAUACGGAUGCUCGCCCCAACUAAUCCGGCCCUUACGGUGGCGGGCUCUUUGACUUCAGAAUUGCCAAAUACAGAAGUACGGAGGGCCCUAUGCCAACCACGGAUAUCACACCAGGACGAGACAGUCCGAGUUUUGGCCAUUCCAGCACAGAAUGCAGAGUCAGACAACAGGUACCAACUAAGCUUUAUUNAGACGGAUUACAGAAAAUAGACGACGAGAAAGACUAGAAAAAGUCGAGGUCGCCCUCCCUCCCCACCCUCGUGAGACAGGACCAAACAUGCACAGACUUAUCACUCAUCAUCACUCUCCGAAACCACCAGCCCCGUCCCCGUCCCGCCGGCCGGGAGGCGGGCGAGGUGCCUAGUAGGAUCCAGAUAGCGGUGCAGAGUACCCAGAGAGCGGAUGUGCGCGGAGCGCAUGAGAUCCUCAUCGGAGACCCCCUGAGACUGGGCAUGCUGCAAAGCACCCCGACGAAAACUGUGCACCGUCUCUCCACCGUAUAGCCCAGCAGCGGUAAGAUGAGCGACGAGGCGAUAUUCCAGGGCCUCGGUCGUCAUCGGCGCCUCCCGAUAUGCGCGGCCACUGCGCUCCGCCGGACGGAAGAGGUAUUGGGUAAUAGGGGUACCGGCCCUCGUACACGUGCUCAUGUACACUGCAAGAACCCGCAGCGCGCAGACGAUAGGAUCACGAUCCGGACGCAACAUCGUCGCAGGAGCACGCUGACCCUUGUACGUCUUGGUAUUUAAUUCUUCGAUACGGAGUACAGUGUCGGGAGAGACACUCCCGUCAGGCGCGGGUAGGGGUAAUGGCCAGCCCUGGUACUCGGUACGGCCAUGCACCGGAUCCCUGAAAUCACUUAACACCAGCUUGCCGACAUCAUGACCGCGCUGAUACGUAUGCCACAUUAAAGCAAAUAGAGACAAGUCCCGAAGCACCAAACUGCGAGCAAACAAAUGCUCUUCGUCGCCGGACGCAGUCCACAGAUGGCAGGCCAGGCGACGAAACUUCUCCGCGGUCAAAGGGAUGGCGCCUCGCUCCACAUAACCGGUGUCACUAAGGUCCCGCCCGUAGCCCUUGACAUAGCCUCGCAACAAGGAGCUGUCGCAAGGAUUCCCGCGGCUUUGAGAGGCGUCAUAGUCCCCUUCCCGGCCCAGCUGCUUAAAAGCAGUCGCAAGGCUCGAGAUAACCCCUUUCACAGCACUGGCGCUGGGACGCCGGUCAGCCCGCAGACGCCCAGGGUGCCGGGGGAACCACCAUUCCACCAGAUACGAAACAAUGGACAUAGGAUCGCAGGUGAGCAAGGUGAGCCCGAGAGACUGGCGCUGCAACCAGCCAUGAAAUUCUCGCGCAGCACUUUGAACCCGCCGCCAGCUCUCCGAGACCCACUGACGUUGGUGCACCUGGUAGAUCGAGAGCAAGGCGGCCGUGAGCGGCGGCCGCACCGACACGUCCCCGGUAAACUCAGAGUAAUACAGAGCCGCGACAGGGUCUAAAGGCGGCGGCGCCGACCUCGGGAGACGGAUAGGGCCCGCAGCAAGCGGAGGCAUGGCAGGGAGAGGAUUACCAGGAAAGACCUGCGGUGAUCAUAGAGCCGAGGCGUAGGACGCACUAAGCUGACGGACGUCCAUCGAAAACAGACAAAACGUACCAGCGGCAGGUGUAACGGCGGGACGAUGAGAUCGUCACGCACAGGCGUAACGGUAACGAAUCGAUGAGUAGACGAAGUAAGUGGGUCUUGGCCCCACGGUAAGCCGCCAGGUACGAGAGGAAACAUAAUGCUAACGGGUACUCGCGAUAACACGAUUACUCGAUUCAGGAACACGGAAAAUUAUUACAAUAAAACGGGGCGCGAUCGCGCUUCCAAAAAAAAUUGGAUAUCACCGAAAAGGGCCUAAAUUCGUUCGUGCGUGGUGCGUGGGGCUCGCUUAGGCGGAGAGCGUUACAAAGGUUGUAAGUGAGCCCUUCGUAUCAUACGGAUGCUCGCCCCAACUAAUCCGGCCCUUACGGUGGCGGGCUCUUUGACUUCAGAAUUGCGACUUGCGACUUCAGCAGUACGCAAGACCGCACUUCGCCUCGCAUCCCGCAAUUUGUUAUGCAACCAGCCAUAAUUUACUAUAAGCUUAGCAAAUUGCAAGGGUAAAGGGCUCAUCUGGACGCAGUUUGCAUGCCGUGCUGCCGGCUUGCGCAAGGAAUCUCUGCGCGCGCUCCACGCCCGCGCGCGCCGCGAGCACCAGGAUAAACUACAACAAAAUGUCUUUUGCUUCGUGCAAAAAUAUGAUGGUAUGUGUUGGUAUGUGUGCCCGGAAAGCUGUGCCGGACGGUCGACCGUCCGGCAGACCGUCCGCCAUGGACGGCCCCACCGUCCGCCAGGGGGGGUAUAUGAACCACACAAAGGGGCUCAUGUCUCAACACAGCUACCAAACAUACACACCGUUACAUGACUACUCCACAAUAACACAGUAGUCCUCCUCUUCUUCGGCCACUUCUCAGGGCCCCCAGGACUGCGUGCACAAUUCACCUUAGGAAGCUGAACACAUACGUGACAAGAACCAUGAGUUAUGCAUUCAACUGUGUAAAUGGAAUUCUUAUUGAGUUGCAGCAUAAGGCUCCAUGGAAAGGACGGCCAAGACCUCGAGGCGAGACGGACGGCCUCGACCCCUCGGGCCGAGACCUCGGGCUGAGACCUUGGGCGUCUAUGAAAUAAGUUUGCCCUGGUGACUGAUUACACAGCUAGGCAGGUACAUCGUUAUGCGAAGACGAUUGACGGAUUGCGGCUUUGCUGGGGAUUUUACGGUGGCCUUUGGAGGUGGAGUUAAAAGGUAGCAGUGAGUGGACGAUAAGAUACUUCAGAAGCGAGCAGUUUCUACCAGAUGGGAGGGAAAUCCUCGUCACGGCUCUAGCGCAGGAUGCUAUGACUAUGUGACGAUGGUGAAUUACAAUGAUGCUUUGUGCAGUGCUUUUUGACGACGCGUGUGCUGGAAGAUAUUUCGCUUGUCCGGUGGAUAUUGGAGCUAAAAGCCAAAUGUGGCAAGCCCACGGGGGACAGGAGAGCAUGCACAGGCAUAAAGCGGGACACGCAUAUGCAGGCUGUUAAGGAGGCUGCAUGCACGCGGGGGGUGAUACGCAGCCCAACCUCCCUAGUGGGUGUGCGCGCACGCGCAUGUAGUCUACACUCACAUCAUCGCGUAGCGAAUUUCCCCCGGGGUACAUAUCACCUGGUUCGCCACCGUAGCGGAUCAUCCCGCCCUUCGCCCCACGCCGUAUACCUCGCGACUGUAGCUAUCAAGUUUCCUUCAUCUCCCCUUCCACCCCCACCCGCGCCCGCACCCAUACCCGCACCCACACCCACACCCACACCCGCACCUCGCCUGCUACGCUGUCCCCCUUUCCCCUCUCACCUCCCAAUGGGCCCCCGCUAGCUCCGCCCCGCCCCACAUCCCAUACACAGACACACAGGCUCUCUCUCUCACCUGCCACCCUCCCUAGCUCCGGAAUAUCGUCUGCGGGUCCCCCCCGGGUAUUCUCCGUACCGCUGCCCGCCACCUCACGAUCGUGGCGUGCUACCUUUUCAUGCAGAAGCACAUACAAACAUACGCAAAUAACUAAAACAAAAACGCACGUUUAACAACUUGCCAAUGUGGCCUCAUGGAAGGUGACGGGACUUUGGGAAAUAGCUACACGACCAAACACAUCAACAGCCGAGACAACGGCACGCAACGAGACAGACAGAUAGACAAACUUACUCACAGACAGACAGACCGAACACACCAGGUGCAAUUACAUGGCAAUGACACGGGCGCUGGACUGCAGGUCUCGGUGUGCCAACCGCCAAACUACCAUCCAACUACUACCAGCUAACACAUAAGCAUCCCAGGGAAGAAGAGCGCUGUAUGACCCACGGGUCCAUCCGUUCCCACACUGCCGCUUCCCCUGCCCUCUCCCGUCCCCACCUGCUCCGCGGCCGCCUCGCUGGUAGUGGCGGGCGGUGUCUUUAUGUCCGGUAGCGAUGGGCGUUGUGCUGUUCUAUUGCCGACGUGGAGCGAGACGUUGGUUGAGUUUGUGUGCGCCUGGAAGAAAAGGGUUUUGUAACGAGGUAGCGGUGGUUGGAGAUGGGUGAGAGGGGGGAGGGAUGGUGGGUGCAAAGGUGCUGCCGGCGGGGUUCAGUCCUUGUGGAGCUAUGUGGCGGGUGGAGAGCAGUUUCCGGGACAUGCCGAGUAUCGAGUGUCACGUGAAGAUGUGUAUGCGGUUUUCUGCACCAACCUCGCAACCACAUUCCCCCUCUUCCCGCCUCCCGGCGCCCACAGGGGGCCCCCCUGUCGCACUCACGUUCCUUGCACGUGGAAGUGGUACAUACAUACAUGCAUACAUACAUACAUACACCUAGGGAGGAGCAAGUAGGGCCCUGCUGCGGCAUUGAUA
rnacentral:lncRNA from 1 species